rnacentral:rRNA from 1 species
CAAGUCGAGCGCCCUGGACCCUGCUUACAAUUAUAUUGUAGUUAGCGUCCAGGGAGCGGCGAACGGCUGAGUAACACGUUGGACGCCUACCCCGAACUCAGGGAUAACCUGGCCGAAAGGCAUGGCUAAUACCGGAUGGUACCCGGAAAGGGUUAAAGUAGUUUUCGGUUCGGGAGGGGCCUGCGGCCUAUCAGUUUGUUGGUGAGGUAAUAGCUCACCAAGACUAUGACGGGUAACUGGUCUGAGAGGGUGAUCAGUCAGAAUGGAACUGAGACACGGUCCAUACUCC